CGGCGAAGACGCCGCGAAGACCACUUGGCAAUAGCUCCAGCUGCUGUCCACCAGCGACCCACGAAGCCACCGCGAAGUAGCAGCAACAACCAGGCAUCACCUCUCUCUUCUUCAACGCUGCUACUCCAGCAGCGGCCUCUGCUCUACUCUCCGGCGAAGAAAUCGACAACGCCAACAACAACUAACAUCUCUGGUCAGCAACUUCGGUCAACGACAAUAGGCAACAAAAUUAUUGGAAAAAUUCUUCGUCUAUGUCUAGGCAGCAGUGAUGGAUCUGAUCAGAAGGGUGAUGAGAAUGAUAAGUCUAAUAAGGAGAGUGAGGGUGAUGAUAAUUAUAAGUUUGAUAAGGAGAGUGAGGGUGAUGAUGAGUAGUUGUAUCUAUUUGACAUUUUAAACUUCUAUAGUUUUGGAAUUGUUUGAUCAUAUUUCAGUUUAUUUUAAAGUUGGAUGAAGUUUAUUUUGAAAUAGUUUAAUGUAUAUGUUGAAAAUAUUGUGUUGUUCUGGUUGGAUGAAGCUUAUUUUGAAAUAGUUUAUUUGGAAUU